rnacentral:rRNA from 1 species
UACAGAGGAGCCAAGCGUUGUCCGGAUUGACUGGGCGUAAAGCGCACGCAGGCGGCUGCGCGCGUGGGGUGUGAAAUCUGGCCGCUUAACGGCCAGGCGCCAUCCCAUACGGCGCGGCUUGAGCCUUGCAGAGGGCGGUGGAAUUGCCGGUGUAGUGGUGAAAUGCGCAGAUAUCAGGAGGAACACCGAUGGCGAAGGCAGGUCUCUGGGCAUUAACUGACGCUGAGGAGCGAAAGCAUGGGGAGCGAACAGG